GGCGACGUGGUCAACGCACCGGAUUGUGGCUCCGGCAUUCGUGGGUUCGAUUCCCAUC
rnacentral:tRNA from 1 species